GUAGGUGGCAAGCGUUGUCCGGAAUUAUUGGGCGUAAAGCGCGCGCAGGCGGUCCUUUAAGUCUGAUGUGAAAGCCCGCGGCUCAACCGUGGAGGGUCAUUGGAAACUGGGGGACUUGAGUACAGAAGAGGAAAGCGGAAUUCCAAGUGUAGCGGUGAAAUGCGUAGAGAUUUGGAGGAACACCAGUGGCGAAGGCGGCUUUCUGGUCUGUAACUGACGCUGAGGCGCGAAAGCGUGGUGAGCAAACAGGGAUUAGAUACCCUGGUAGUCCACGCCGUAAACGAUGAGUGCUAAGUGUUAGGGGGUUUCCGCCCCCUUAGUGCUGCAGCUAACGCAUUAAGCACUCCGCCUGGGGAUACGGCCGCAAGGCUG
rnacentral:rRNA from 1 species